rnacentral:rRNA from 1 species
GAUGAAUGCUGGCGGCGUGCCUAAUACAUGCAAGUCGAGCGAACAGACGAGGAGCUUGCUCCUCUGACGUUAGCGGCGGACGGGUGAGUAACACGUGGAUAACCUACCUAUAAGACUGGGAUAACUUCGGGAAACCGGAGCUAAUACCGGAUAAUAUAUUGAACCGCAUGGUUCAAUAGUGAAAGACGGUUUUGCUGUCACUUAUAGAUGGAUCCGCGCCGCAUUAGCUAGUUGGUAAGGUAACGGCUUACCAAGGCAACGAUGCGUAGCCGACCUGAGAGGGUGAUCGGCCACACUGGAACUGAGACACGUUCCAGACUCCUACGGGAGGCAGCAGUAGGGAAUCUUCCGCAAUGGGCGAAAGCCUGACGGAGCAACGCCGCGUGAGUGAUGAAGGUCUUCGGAUCGUAAAACUCUGUUAUUAGGGAAGAACAAAUGUGUAAGUAACUAUGCACGUCUUGACGGUACCUAAUCAGAAAGCCACGGCUAACUACGUG